rnacentral:rRNA from 1 species
GACGUAGGGUGCGAGCGUUGUCCGGAUUUAUUGGGCGUAAAGAGCUCGUAGGCGGCCAACUAAGUCAGACGUGAAAUCCCCAGGCUCAACCUGGGAACUGCGUCUGAUACUGGAUGGCUUGAAUCCGGGAGAGGGAUGCAGAAUUCCAGGUGUAGCGGUGAAAUGCGUAGAGAUGUGGAGGAACACCGAUGGCGAAGGCAGCCCCCUGGGCUAACACUGACGCUCAUGCACGAAAGCGUGGGGAGCAAACAGG